ACCGGCGGCUCGAGUGGUAACCGUUAUUAUUGGGUCUAAAGGGUCUGUAGCCGGCCGGAUAAGUCUCUUGAGAAAUCUGGCAGCUUAACUGUCAGGCUUUCAGGAGAUACUGUCUGGCUCGAGGCCGGGAGAGGUGAGAGGUACUUCAGGGGUAGGGGCGAAAGAGUGUAAACCUUGCAGGAAGAGCAGUGGGGAAGGCGUGUCACCAGGACGGACCGGACGUGUAGGCACUUAAGUUAGGUGCAGGAUCUG
rnacentral:rRNA from 1 species